UGGCGGACGGGUGAGUAACGCGUGGGCAACCUACCCACACAGGGGACGAACAGUUGGAAACGACUGCUAAUACCGCAUAGGCGCACAGCUUCGCAUGAAGCAGUGUGGAAACCGAGGUGGUGUGGGAUGGGCCCGCGUCUGAUUAGCUGGUUGGCGGGGUAACGCCCACCAAGGCGACGAUCAGUAGCCGGCCUGAGAGGGUGGACGGCCACAUUGGGACUGAGACACGGCCCAAACUCCUACGGAAGGCAGCAG
rnacentral:rRNA from 1 species